AGUGAACGCUGGCGGUAGGCCUAACACAUGCAAGUCGAACGGCAGCACAGUAAGAGCUUGCUCUUACGGGUGGCGAGUGGCGGACGGGUGAGGAAUACAUCGGAAUCUACUUUUUCGUGGGGGAUAACGUAGGGAAACUUACGCUAAUACCGCAUACGACCUACGGGUGAAAGCAGGGGAUCUUCGGACCUUGCGCGAUUGAAUGAGCCGAUGUCGGAUUAGCUAGUUGGCGGGGUAAAGGCCCACCAAGGCGACGAUCCGUAGCUGGUCUGAGAGGAUGAUCAGCCACACUGGAACUGAGACACGGUCCAGACUCCUACGGGAGGCAGCAGUGGGGAAUAUUGGAAAAUGGGCGCAAGCCUGAUCCAGCCAUACCGCGUGGGUGAAGAAGGCCUUCGGGUUGUAAAGCCCUUUUGUUGGGAAAGAAAAGCAGCAGGUUAAGACCCCGCUGUUCGGACGGUACCCAAAGAAUAAGCACCGGCGAACUUCGG
rnacentral:rRNA from 1 species